UCAUCCUCCACCACACCUGCAGCACGCAGCGUCAGGAAUGAGGCGCGCGGCUGCUGCGUCUGCGCCGCUUUACUUUGACUGCGCUGAUCGGAUGAUGAUGAUGAUGACAUUAAAGUCUCUGGAUAUGCGGAGUCCAGUCGGGUAUUUGGCGUCUGAUUCGUUUUAAUUGAGCCCACACACGUGCGCGCGUGGCUGCCUGCCUGCCCCCCUUCCUGCUCAGGCGCGCGCACAUCGCCAAUAAUCAACCUGCGCUGCUGCAGGAGCAUCGCGGCUGUCGGCGGUCCCUCUCUGCCUCCCCGCUGGAUGUUUGCGCAGAGAGCCGCCGCUCUCCAUCACCUCUGAACUCGGACGCGCUCCGGUUCCGUCACCAUGGUGCUUUCUGGGUGACGGAUCCUCUCGGCUUUAUUUGGGGAAAGUUGCGCUGCGUCAUGGACCAACAGCGCAAACUUUAAGAGUUUUGUUUUCUUCUGAUGAGAGAGUUAUUCCACCAUGAAGGCAGGUGAAUCACCCGCGGCGCUCCUCAAGUAGACUGGGCUGGGAAAGGCGACACGGACCGGAGGGAGUCGUGCUGCAUGCGGAGGAGCGGGGAACUGGACCGAUGAGACAACAUGGGUCCGCUGCUGUGUGAUGGAAGGCUGACAUGCUUUCUCUUCCCUCUGCUCCUGCUCCUGCGAGCUCCCUUGUUGUUCAGCUUUGGUGAGCGCACCUGCCCCAACAGCUGCCGCUGCGAGGGGAAAACCAUCCACUGCGACUCCUCUGGGUUUUUAGAAGUGCCGGAAAACAUCUCAGUCGGCUGCCAGGGUCUCUCCCUGCGCUACAAUGAACUACGCGCCCUGCUACCUUACCAAUUUGCUCACCUGGGACAGCUUCUUUGGAUUUACCUGGACCAUAAUCAAAUUUCAGUUGUGGACAGUCGAGCGUUCCAGGGAGUUCGAAGGCUUAAAGAGUUGAUACUGAGCUCCAACCGGAUCGCGUCUCUACAUAACUCCACAUUCCAUGGCGUCCCCAACCUUCGUAGCCUUGACUUGUCCUACAACAAACUGGAAAUCCUGCAGCCGGGUCAAUUCCAUGGCUUACGAAAGCUACAAAACCUCCACCUGCGCUCAAACGGUCUCUCCAACAUCCCGAUUCGAGCGUUUUUGGAGUGCAGAAGUUUGGAGUUUCUGGAUUUGGGUUAUAAUCGGAUCAAGGCUCUCACUCGCACCACCUUCUUGGGAUUGCAACGGCUGAUGGAGUUGCAUCUAGAGCACAACCAGUUCUCCAGGAUCAAUUUUUUUCUGUUUCCACGCUUAGCCAAUCUGAGAUCCCUCUAUUUGCAGUGGAAUCGCAUCAGAGUGGUCAACCAGGGCCUUCCCUGGACUUGGUACACUCUGCAGAAACUGGAUCUGUCUGGGAAUGAGAUUCAGACGCUGGACCCGGCUGUUUUCCACUGCUUACCCAACCUUCAAGUCCUGAACUUGGAGUCCAACAAAUUGUCCAACGUGUCCCAAGAGGCUGUGACGGCCUGGAUCUCACUGACCACUAUCAGCCUGGCUGGCAACAUAUGGGACUGUGGAGCGGGCAUUUGCCCCCUUGUUGCUUGGUUGAGAAAUUUCCGGGGCAGUAAAGACACCACCAUGAUCUGCAGCAGCCCCAAGCAUCUCCAGGGAGAGAAAAUCAUGGAGGUCACACGGAACCACGGCAUUUGCGAGGAGAACGAUUACUUUAUGACUGAAACGCCAUCGCCGAUGCCGGAGCUAAUCUCUGACGCCACGGCCGAACCGACCUUUGCCCCCACCAGCGGUUCGCCAGCGACCCCACCAACCAGCACCUUUGGCCCCCUCCCACCCUUCAGACUUCGACCAAUUCCUCAUCCAACCUAUCCAGGCCCCAUGAGCAAAGACACGAGAAACACGGCGAUUCGCACUCGGCCCACCCUCAUCUCGCCGCCGCCGAUGGAGCACAUGGCGCUGCACAAGGUGGUGGUGGGCAGCGUGGCGCUCUUCUUCACCAUGUCACUCAUCUUGACCAUCAUCUACGUGCUGUGGCGGCGCUACCCCGGCGCUGCGCGGUUGCUGCAGCAGCGGUCAGUGGUGGGGCGGAAGCGGCGCAAAAAGAGCCCAGAGCCCGAGCAAAACCUCAGCUCCCAACUCCAAGAGUAUUACAUGAGUUACAACCCCGCUGCCACACCAGAGGCACUGGAGGUGCUUGGCAACGGCACUGGCUCCUGCACUUGCACAAUUUCUGGCUCCAGGGAGUGUGAGGUAUGACCCAUCACCUCAGCCUAAAAAUAAAAAGUCUAAAUCAAACACAAGGCUCAACAGAGAGAACGAGUACACGUGUCCACGCCCCCUGCCUGGUGCCUGGCUGGGAGAUGUGCCUACGAUCCAUUAACUCUCAGAGAAAGGACUGUUGGAGAUGAUGCAACAGAUCGCGGCCCGUCCCGCCAGGAUUCCUCUCUCAUCCUCGCUCAGAUUGGAGGAGGCGCUUCAAUUGUCCUCCAUGCAAACGGAUUCAAGGCAACAAUCGAUCCAGCGGAAAAAGAGGAGAUGACGUGCCGGCUUCUCUUUUUUUUAAAGAUUUUAUAACGUCUUUUUUUUUUAAUGAUCAUUUGGUCUUUGGCAUUUCUCAUGACGCUCACCUCACAAACACACGCACUGAUGGUCGAGAGGUCCUGUCGUGCAGACUAAUGAGAGCCAAGGAACGGAUGCAAUAAAGAUGGCCGCCCACUGCAGGGACCAUGAUGGCUUAUUGUCUCCUCUUCAUGGCGUCGUGCAAAAAGGACAAGCUGUUCCUACGACACAGGGGUGUGUAAUUUAAAAUGGGUUGCCAUGUUUUCAACUCCUGUGAAGCAUCAUUAUAUAAUCUUUCAGUACAUUUUUGAAAUAAAAGAAGGAAAGAAAUAAAAGAAAGACCAAUCAUGAGCUGCGACGGUUCCUCACAGAAAGUACGAAAAGAGGAAUCUGCUUCGGUUGUUUAAAAGUAUUUUGUUUUGUUCGGAGAGUAUUUUUUAUUCUUUCCAAAUAAAAUGAAAUUUCAAGGAUAACUUUUAAUAAGGGAGACAAAACAACAAAACAAAAAAGAAAAACAGAAAUGAGGACAGAUGCUCCAAUCAAGGACAAACUGCUAAUGUUGUGUUUUUCUUUUCUUUAUUUUUAUUUUUAAAGAAAAAAAUGUGUGUUUGAGCAACAGAUACCAAAGAGCCAAAUGAACCCUCCUUUACUUUUGGCUCAGCUUCACAUACAGGCGCAUCUCAAUACAUUUCUGUAUCAAACAAAACAUUGAUUUACUUCAGUGAAACUGGAGCUUUAGCUUCAGAAAGCCGUUUAUUUCUGUUGGUUGUGAUGAUUACAGCAAAUUUACACGAGACACAAACAGUUUCUCAAAAAGUUAAAGAGAAAAAUGUAUUUAAAACGGAAAUGCCAUGAAAUUAGACUUGGCAAACAUCCUCCUUGAAUCUGAGCAAAUUAAAGUUUAAUGGAAGGAAAUACUGCAGUAGAAAAAGUCCCCAAAGCAUU